rnacentral:rRNA from 1 species
CCUACGGGGCGCAGCAGUGAGGAAUAUUGGUCAAUGGUCGGGAGACUGAACCAGCCAAGCCGCGUGAGGGAUGAAGGUACAGAGUAUCGUAAACCUCUUUUGUCAGGGAACAAAGGCGGGGACGUGUCCCCGGAUGAGUGUACCUGAAGAACAAGCAUCGGCUAACUCCGUGCCAGCAGCCGCGGUAAUACGGAGGAUGCGAGCGUUAUCCGGAUUUAUGGGGUUUAAAGGGUGCGCAGGCGGUCUGUUAAGUCAGCGGUCAAAGCCCGGGGCUCAACCCCGGCCCGCCGUUGAAACUGGCAGUCUCGAGUUGGAGAGAAGUAUGCGGAAUGCGCGGUGUAGCGGUGAAAUGCAUAGAUAUCGCGCAGAACUCCGAUUGCGAAGGCAGCAUGCCGGCUCCACACUGACGCUGAGGCACGAAAGCGUGGGUAUCGAACAGGAUUAGAUACCCUUGUAGUC